GUUUUUGUCGAGGGAAAAAGUUGGAUUCAUAUUUAAAGUGUCAGAGGAGUGGUCCUUCUUAUCAAAGGGUACUGUCCUUGGGUGUUCAAAUAGCUCAGGCAUUGGGGUACCUGCAUAGUCGGGAUAUUACUCACUGUGAUCUCAGAUCUGUCAAUAUAUUUGUCGAUAGUGGGAAAAUAACUAUUAUUAAUUUUGGGAUAUAUAAACUGGAAAGAACAUUUGGAAUUUUAAGAUUCAGUCGUGGUUGGUUGUCCUCCUUGGCGCCUGAAAUCAUUCGGAAGGUCUCAGGUUUUUCUACUGACUUUGAAUUUACCAAGUUUUCAGAUGUUUUUGCCUUUGGGUAUUUUUUUAGUUAAUUUGAAGUGCAUUAUUAUUUGAAAUGUUUGGGUUGGAAAAGCCAUUUGAGAAUGAUUGUGCAGAACAGGUCAUUUUAAAGGUAGGGAAUGGGGUAUUCCCGUCAAUUGGAUCAUUGUCUAUUCCGAGAGAGACUAUGGUGGAUGUCGGGUUAUAUUGGAUAGGACUUGGUCUCUCAUUGUAUGCGAUUUGACCCACUGAAACGACCUUCGUUUGAAAUGCUGAUUGACCGAUUGAACACAAUCUCAAGCCGACACA